GGGCGCAWKYCUGAUGCAGCNCMUGCCGCGUGUAUGAAGAAGGCCUUCGGGUUGUAAAGUACUUUCAGCGGGGAGGAAGGGAGUAAAGUUAAUACCUUUGCUCAUUGACGUUACCCGCAGAAGAAGCACCGGCUAACUCCGUGCCAGCAGCCGCGGUAAUACGGAGGGUGCAAGCGUUAAUCGGAAUUACUGGGCGUAAAGCGCACGCAGGCGGUUUKUUAAGUCAGAUGUGAAAUCCCCGGGCUCAACCUGGGAGCUGCAUCUGAUACUGGCAAGCUUGAGUCUCGUAGAGGGGGGUAGAAUUCCAGGUGUAGCGGUGAAAUGCGUAGAGAUCUGGAGGAAUACC
rnacentral:rRNA from 1 species